AGUUCAGUUGGAUAGAACGCAGGAUUGCGGAUCCUGAGGUCAGAGGUUCGAAUCCUCUC
rnacentral:tRNA from 1 species